rnacentral:pre_miRNA from 1 species
UCUCCGUUCCGCGUGCUUUCUCGCCGGUUAGAGCGAUGAGAGAGCAUGUGAAAUGGAGAGA